CCUACGGGUUGCACCAGUGGGGAAUAUUGCACAAUGGGCGCAAGCCUGAUGCAGCCAUGCCGCGUGUAUGAAGAAGGCCUUCGGGUUGUAAAGUACUUUCAGCGGGGAAGAAGGCGAUAAGGUUAAUAACCUUGUCGAUUGACGUCACCCGCAGAAGAAGCACCGGCUAACUCCGUGCAAGCAGCCGCGGUAAUACGGAGGGUGCAAGCGUUAAUCGGAAUUACUGGGCGUAAAGCGCACGCAGGCGGUCUGUCAAGUCGGAUGUGAAAUCCCCGGGCUCAACCUGGGAACUGCAUUCGAAACUGGCAGGCUAGAGUCUUGUAGAGGGGGGUAGAAUUCCAGGUGUAGCGGUGAAAUGCGUAGAGAUCUGGAGGAAUACCGGUGGCGAAGGCGGCCCCCUGGACAAAGACUGACGCUCAGGUGCGAUAGCGUGGGGAGCAAACAGGAUUAGAUACCCCAGUAGUC
rnacentral:rRNA from 1 species